rnacentral:lncRNA from 1 species
CUCCUGUGGCCGAGGCUGCUGCAGUACGUGGUGCCCGCCCAGUACAGGGGCAUGCUUAUUCCCCUCUCCCGCUGCCUCCGGAGUCUGGCUGAGAGACGGGAGAGAGCAGGACAGCAUGAAGAGGAGGACUCUGAUGUCACCAGCUCCGAGGAACAAGCCCAGCUGCCAGCUCCACAGGCCCUGCUGUCUCGACUGCUGGUGAGUAGCAAUGCCCUGGGGAAGGUGCCCUGGGCAAAGCCAUUGGCUGCCUGUUGCUGGCAGGAGGGGCUCCACACUUCCUUCCUGCUGGGAGAAGUUGCCAAUUUGGCAGCAGGAGCAACUCUUCUCUCCCUCUUGCCCUUGCCUAGGUGAAGUCAGCAGCUCCUCAUGCAGGUGGUGAGCACACAGUUGCUGCCUUGAAGCUGCUGCAGGCCCUCCACAGCACGAUCCAUGGAGCCCUGGGGGCAGCAUGAGAUCCCCUUCCUGCUGCAGUAUCUGGAAGGUAAGGUGCUCGUGGGGAUGGGCAGCCUGGCAGGGACGGAAAGGAGGCAGGAAAACACAGCUUCCCAGCAGGACAGAGGGGAAUUGUGCUCACUACCUUUCCCUUUCCAGGUGCCAAUAUUGAGGCUGGGAGCAACCAUCUCCCAGGGUGGACACCUGCCAGGGGCUGGAUAGUGUCACAGACAUUUUCUCAGGUGGCAGCCCCAUGUUCUUUCUGGGUCAUCUUUCCCAUUGUUCCGGGAGCUGUAAGCAAGAAACAGGACUCAGCCCCAGCCAGUGUUUCCUUUCCCAGCUUGAAUUGGAGGCUCUAACUACUGCCCCUGGGAUCCUUCUGCUUUCUAGGAAAAGAUGCUAUCUCCAUGGACUCUGCAGAGUGGAAGUGCCAUCUGCUUAAGUUUCUGAAAGUGUCACUGGAAUGCAUGGAGGACCAGGCCUGGACUGUGGCUCUGAGCCAGCAGCUCAGCGAGCAGCUGGGCACCUGUCUCCAUGGCUCCUGGCUCCAUGGCUGGGACUGCAGGCACUCUUUUGCCCAUGAUGGCUUUUGUCACUGCUUGCCCUCCCCUUGUCGCCAAAAGACUCUUCCCUCCAUGCAGCUCAGAGGCUGGCUACAACCUAGCACCGUGGCUGGCUUCAGAUUGCUCCCUAGGGUGGUGGGGUCCAUCUUGGCCUGUCCUUCUCCUGACGUGUUGGGCCAUUACUGCAUCUUGGGCUCGGCCUCAUUUCUUUCAGCUCUUCUUGUACAAGGCUCUUGGGUCAGUGCUGGCAGCUUGUCAGGACGUCAGCCGCGUCCAAGGGCAGCUUCACGGGUAUCUCCAGGGAACAAACCACAUGGAGCUGUUUGAGGCCCAGGGAAUGAUUUUGGUUGUGUCCUUUGCUGCUGAGCGCCACUUCCACCUGGCCUUGGACGCAGUGACAGUGUUUGCUGCCACGCUGACCAGAGGCAGGUUUUCAGAGCCAUCUGGGGACUGGAAGGUACAGUGGCAGCAGAAGGAGGAAGCCCAGGCCGCUUGCGUUGCUGUCAUGCUCACCUACAGUGGCAUCACACUGCACGCCCCCAGGGAGCAUCUGUUGUCCCAUGUGGAUGCAGACAUCUUGGGCAGGAUCCUGAUGCUUUCUGGAGCCAGCUACCGGGUGGGAGCUCAGCGCAUGCAGGAAGAAGGGCGUCUGGAUGCCCCAGCUCCAGCCUCUGGGCAUGGUGGCAUAAUGAGAUGGGAUCUUUCUAAGGAUACCAAAGGAACAAUUUGCCCUGCACUUGCAGUCCAAACCAUUCUCUAG